ensembl:lncRNA
CACACACACACACACACACACACACACACAGCUCACCCCAUCUCCUCUUCCUCCUCCUUUCCCUCCUCUUCUCCAUUUCUUCUAGUCCUCUUCCCCUCUUCCGCUUCUCUUCCUCCCCUCUUCCUCGCUCCCUCAUUUGCACCUCUCACUCUUCAUCUUCUCCUCCUCUUCAUCCUCUUCUGUGUUUCCCCCACUUCUUUUGUCACCGCUCCUUGUUUUGUUUUUCUGUUCCUUCUUUUCACUCAUGUCAUCGUCUCCUCCCUUCUACAAUAGUUUCCUUUCUUUGCUAAACUCUUCUGUCCUCCUCUUUUGUGUCCAUAUUUCUUUUUGUUCCCUCCCCUCUUAUCUCCUGGGCUCUCGUUUCUCCUGAGUCCUCUCAUGCAUCCUCUCCUCCUCAUCAUCUCCUCUCUCCUUCACCUCCCUCCCCUCCCGCCUCCAGGUGUUCAACCCGACCCGGGGGAGCCAUUGACCGGGAGGAGCCCAGCGAUGCGUUAGCUUUGUGUGCGAGUGCGUCUCAAUAAUUCAGCCGACGCUGUCAGGACCUCGCUCACCAGAGCGCUCUCAGGUUCCUGUGCAGCUCUCAGGUGAUCACACACAUGCACACGCACACACACACACACACCGCACACACACACACACACACACACACGGAGGAAACUAUUACAUUCAGUGAGUUAAACAGGAGCUCAUCUGAUCAGUUUAUGUUCUGAUUUCAUUGCCCGUUCCCCAAUGAGCAGCAGCGCUACGUUGCGUUGCGUUAGGUUGUGUUGCGUUAGGUUGCGUUGCGUUAGGUUGCGUUGCAGGUGUGUCUAUAAAAAGAUGGCCGCCAUCGUCACUUUCACUUUCGUUUAAAACCAUUAACUGUCACUUUAAAACUCCACAGCAGCAGUAGUUCAUCAUCUUCUGUCCAAGCAGACUGGAGGGAUGCACCCCGACUCAAAGCUUUGAUGAGAGACGCCCCGUGUGUCAACGUAAGACACAGUUUUUACAUCGGGACGGACAUCACAAGGACAAAAGAGUCAGUGGACAAGAUCAAGAUCCUUUGAUUUCAGGAUGUUUCUGAAAUAAAGGGAUCCCUCAGUAAACAUUGUAAACACAAGUUUAUGGUCUCAAUCUCUAGUUCAAGUCUUCUUCAACAUAGCACGAUGUUCAUUUAGUGAAUGAUGGUCCAUUCAGAGUCAUGUAGGCCAUAAACAGGGGAUGCUUCGGGACGGGGCUACACGCUGAUUGACAGGUUUCUAACUGUUUUAAAUAUGGAAACUGUAGAUGCAAAUGUCGACGGCAAAGUCGCCAAACUCCGAACAUGAACGCAUCCGUCCACAAACCGAUGGGUGACGUGGUGUGUUGCAUUCUGGGAUCUGCCAGGUGAACAAAACCGGGGCUACACGCUGAUUGACAGGUCUCCGCCAGAGACGUAUACGGCGUCUCUGCGUCCUUCCCCAGUCCACAUAUUCAAACCGACGGCCUACGUCACACUAACUACGUCCACUCCUGAUACACACUCUACGUCUGCUCCGUCUUCAGCCAUCGAUGUCUCAUCUCAACACACGGCCGCGGUGCCACAGCGAUUACUGUCCCCGAUGGGACAAAUCAAAGGGUUGUCGGUCCUCGUUUCAAACCUCCACGCUACUGUUGCCCGACCGCAGUAACAUUUAAAUUAAUGUUACUCACACACACGCACAAGAUCACAAACACAAAAAGGCUAAUUAAUUAAAUAUUUAGUGCAGAAAAUCAACUCACACCUCUCGCAUGUUCUCAGAACGCCUGUCCAAGUGUGUGUGUGUGUGUGUGUGUGUGUGUGUAUGUAUGUAAGUGUGUGGACGCUCGCUCCUACGCAGCACACCCUGACGGCCAUCUGAAGCGGCGGUGGGACAGAUGGUCCGUAGGCCGGUCCCCUACGUGCCCGCGGCCGUGCACAGAAUGUGUCCUGACAUGUGACCGACGCACAUUCGGGACAAAGUUUCCGCACGUGGCUUUUCCUCAAACAGCCUCUUUACUUCGGCUCCACAUUUUCCUUCCACGGCUUCACGUUGUUUCUAAAAAUAAGACCUUCAGUGUUUAAAGUCGCUUUCCCGGCCAACAACGGACCAUAAACGCACACAGAUGUGACAAAUCACUAAACCCACUGUUUAGGGAAGACUUCCAGGUAUUUGAGAUUUAUUUAAUUAUUUACAGCCCUGGCAACAUUUGCCAUGAAGUAUCUUUUUAAUAAAUGGGCCAUAUCAACAUUACGUUUGUGAUAGCAUAUCAAAAACAAAUGUUUAUUGCCAGUGUGCCAGAGCUGGUAAUGUUAGCAGCACCGCUAACGGCUAACCGUUGAAGGCUCACUUCAGGAACAUUGUAAAACAGGAUUUCGUGGCUAAUAUGAAGUGAACAGGCGUUAAAUCAGUGGAGCGUUCAGGUCAUUAUAACUACCAUGAUGUGUUUACAGGUAAUCGGUAAAAAAGUUUUAAUAAAUCCAGCAGUUUGAAGGAGAUGAUGCAAAUAUUUUUUUAAAUAAAUUAAAGAAUACAAUCUUUAAUUUCCUUUUCUUUUGAAUUCUGUGUUUUCGGGAAAAUAAGCUAUAAAUUACUAUAGAAGAAUCAAGGAUAACGUUUUUAAUUUCUGUUUACAGAUUUUUUAGGGCAUAAAGGAUCAUUGAAGACUAAUCAAACAAAAAAAGCUAUCAUCAAUAAUAAUAAAGUUAUAUUUUCUUUUGUGCUGACCCAAACCAUGAGUUUUAUGAUGCGCAUCGCCACAAGUCCUCAUCGUUAAUGUUUGCUUUAUAUCUGCUUCCUUCCGCCUAUCAAACAUGAAAGAACCCAAACAGACAUGUCGGCAGCAGCUGGGCAGCACACAGAGGUCCUCAGCGACCCCCCCCCCCCCCCCCCCACACACACACACACACACACACACACACACACACUGGAGCCUCCUCAAGCCACAGCGACCUUUGACCUCACUGUGGCUUUCCCGCAUGAACG